ACCGUGAAAAAAUUAGAGUGUUCAAAGCAGGCAGAUCCAAUUUUCUGCCACCGAAUACAUUAGCAUGGGAUAAUGGAAUAGGACCCUGUCCUCCUAUUUUCAGUUGGUUUUGGCAGCGCGAGGACUAGGGUAAUGAUUAAUAGGGAUAGUUGGGGGCAUUAAUAUUUAAUUGUCAGAGGUGAAAUUCUUGGAUUUAUGAAAGAUUAACUUCUGCGAAAGCAUCUGCCAAGGAUGUUUUCAUUAAUCAAGAACGAAAGUUAGGGGAUCGAAGACGAUCAGAUACCGUCGUAGUCUUAACCAUAAACGAUGCCGACCAGCGAUUAGGAGACGUUGAAUACAAAACACCACCAUCGGCGCGGUCGUCCUUGGCGUGUCUCGGCUUCACGGCCGGGGCGCGCGAGGGCGGUUUAGCCCGGUGGCACCGGUGAAUGACUCCC
rnacentral:rRNA from 1 species